CGGCUGCAACGGGAGAAAAUCCGUGAGGAGCGACGUCGAGAGAGGGAGAGGGAAAGAAGGUUGGAAGCAAAAGAUGCUGCCAUGGGUAAGAAAAGCAAAAUUACAAGAGAUAGAGAUCGUGACAUCAGUGAGAAGGUUGCUCUUGGUAUGGCUUCAACUGGUGCUGGCAGAGGAGAGGUCAUGUAUGACCAGAGGUUGUUCAACCAAGAGAAAGGGAUGGACUCUGGGUUUGCAACAGAUGAUCAGUAGAAAGUGUAGGCUGAGCUGUAAAGA
rnacentral:misc_RNA from 1 species